CGCAGCCGCGGUAAUUCCAGCUCCAAUAGCGUAUAUUAAAGUUGUUGCAGUUAAAAAGCUCGUAGUUGAAUUUCGGGAUCAAUAUAUCGGUCGUGCCAUUGGUACGUACUGGUAUCAUUGGUUUCUCCUUUCUGUCGAACCAUGAUGUCAUUAAUUUGGUGUUAUGGGAAGUUAGGACUGUUACUUUGAAAAAAUUAGAGUGUUUAAAGCAGGCUCACGCUUGAAUACAUUAGCAUGGAAUAAUGAAAUAGGACGUUUGAUUCUAUUUUGUUGGUUUCUAGGAUCGACGUAAUGAUUAAUAGGGAUAGUUGGGGGCAUUAGUAUUCAAUUGUCAGAGGUGAAAUUCUUGGAUUUAUUGAAGACUAACUUCUGCGAAAGCAUUUGUCCAAGGAUGUUUUCAUUAAUCAAGAACGAAAGUUAGGGGAUCGAAGACGAUCAGAUACCGUCGUAGUCUUAACCAUAAACUAUGCCGACUAGGGAUCGGACGGAUGUUAAUUUUUUAAUGUACUCGUUCGGCGCC
rnacentral:rRNA from 1 species